rnacentral:rRNA from 1 species
UACGGGGGGGGUAAGCGUUGUUCGGAAUUACUGGGCGUAAAGGGCUCGUAGGCGGCCAACUAAGUCAGACGUGAAAUCCCUCAGCUUAACUGGGGAACUGCGUCUGAUACUGGUUGGCUUGAGUGCAGGAGAGGAACGCGGAAUUCCAGGUGUAGCGGUGAAAUGCGUAGAUAUCUGGAGGAACACCGGUGGCGAAGGCGGCGUUCUGGACUGUAACUGACACUGAUGAACGAAAGCCAGGGGAGCAAACGGG